UAGUGGAACGGUCCUGGAAAGGCCGGCGAUACAGGGUGAUAGCCCCGUACACGAAAACGACCUUGAUGUGAAAUCGAGUAGGGCGGGACACGUGACAUCCUGUCUGAAUAUGGGGGGACCAUCCUCCAAGGCUAAAUACUCCUGACUGACCGAUAGUGAACCAGUACCGUGAGGGAAAGGCGAAAAGAACCCCUGUGAGGGGAGUGAAAUAGAACCUGAAACCGUGUACGUACAAGCAGUGGGAGCCCUUCGGGGUGACUGCGUACCUUUUGUAUAAUGGGUCAGCGACUUACAUUUUGUAGCGAGGUUAACCGUAUAGGGGAGCCGUAGGGAAACCGAGUCUUAACUGGGCGUCUAGUUGCAAGGUGUAGACCCGAAACCGGGUGAUCUAGCCAUGGGCAGGUUGAAGGUUGAGUAACAUCAACUGGAGGACCGAACCCACUAACGUUGCAAAGUUAGGGGAUGACCUGUGGCUGGGGGUGAAAGGCCAAUCAAACUCGGAGAUAGCUGGUUCUCCCCGAAAGCUAUUUAGGUAGCGCCUCGGACGAAUACUACUGGGGGUAGAGCACUGUUUGGGCUAGGGGGUCAUCCCGACUUACCAACCCCAUGCA
rnacentral:rRNA from 1 species